GAGGUGAUUCAACCUCUGAAUCUCUGGUCUACGAAACCAGAGAUUCUGGGUUCGAUCCCCAGCAGAGUCG